CUGGUAGAUCCUACAGUAGUAGCACAUGCCAGUUUCAAAAGUUAAUCCACAGUAUUGUUGUGAAUGGCUGGAUGAGGGUUCAGCUCCUAUAUAGAUAACUGGUUAUUGUAGGACUGAUCCGCACCUGUGGCUUCAGUGACUCUGGUGAUUCUAGGUAACCUAGAUCAAUCACAUUUUCUCCCCACCCCCACCAUGGCCCUGUCACUCUUAGGUGGCAGUUGUAGUGCCUACUGAGGCGACCACUGUGACCAAGAAUCUUAAUAAUAGGGAAUCUCAAUUUGAUUCUGCAGAGAGAGAGCCUGAUAAAUUAAUACCCUAUCUAAAGAAUGCAGCAGGCGCACAAAUUACCCACUCCCAACCCUGGAGGAUAAUGAUUAAAACAAUAUAGAACUCUUUCAAGGCCCUGUAGUUGGAAAGAGUCCAGUUUAAAUCCUUUAAAGAGGAUCUAUUGCAGGGCAAGCCUGGUGCUGGCAGCCACGGUAAUCCCACUUUCAAUGUGGUGUGCUGAAUUCCUGGCAGUUAAAAUGCUUGUUUUUGGAUCUUAACGUGCUGCCGGGGUCCAUUGCAAGAAAGUCCAUGCCUCUUGUCUUUUUGGUACCUUACGGGCUCUUCUUCCCUGAGUUUCCCUGGAGCUGAAGUGUGCACUUGAAGAAAAUUAGUGUUCAAAGUAGCGUGGGCUGCCUGGAUACUGCUGGUGGGAAUCAUGGAAUGGGAGCGUGGUUCUAUUUUGUUUGUGUUGGAACUUUGAGGAAGCUUAUUAAGCAGGGCAGUUGGGGCAUUAGUAUUGCACCGCUAGGACUCAAAUUCUGGGCCAGUAAUAAGACUGAUCAGAGUGAAAGUUUUUGCCAAGGAUGUUUUCAUUAACCAAGAAUGAAGGUGAAAGUGGGAAGUUUAAAGAUGUUCAGGUCCUGUGUAGUUACGAACAUAAAUGUGAUGUUGACCACUGCAUUAAUGCCCAUGACCCACUAGCAGCUUCCAGGAAACCAGAGCCCUUUG
rfam:Homo sapiens chromosome 5, GRCh38 reference primary assembly.